GACGGAGGAUGCAAGUGUUAUCCGGAAUCACUGGGCGUAAAGCGUCUGUAGGUGGUUUAAAAAGUCUAUUGUUAAAAAUUGAAGCUUAACUUCAAAGAUGCCGUGGAAACUUUUAAACUUGAGUAUGAUAGGGGUAGAGGGAAUUUCCAGUGGAGCGGUGAAAUGCGUAGAUAUUGGAAAGACCACCAAUGGCGAAGGCACUCUACUGGGCCAUUACUGACACUGAGAGACGAAAGCUAGGGGAGCGAAUGGG
rnacentral:rRNA from 1 species